CGGUGAACACGGAGCUUGCUCUGUGGGAUCAGUGGCGAACGGGUGAGUAACACGUGAGCAACCUGCCCCUGACUCUGGGAUAAGCGCUGGAAACGGCGUCUAAUACUGGAUAUGUGACGUGACCGCAUGGUCUGCGUUUGGAAAGAUUUUUCGGUUGGGGAUGGGCUCGCGGCCUAUCAGCUUGUUGGUGAGGUAAUGGCUCACCAAGGCGUCGACGGGUAGCCGGCCUGAGAGGGUGACCGGCCACACUGGGACUGAGACACGGCCCAGACUCCUACGGGAGGCAGCAGUGGGGAAUAUUGCACAAUGGGCGCAAGCCUGAUGCAGCAACGCCGCGUGAGGGAUGACGGCCUUCGGGUUGUAAACCUCUUUUAGCAGGGAAGAAGCGAAAGUGACGGUACCUGCAGAAAAAGCGCCGGCUAACUACGUGCCAGCAGCCGCGGUAAUACGUAGGGCGCAAGCGUUAUCCGGAAUUAUUGGGCGUAAAGAGCUCGUAGGCGGUUUGUCGCGUCUGCUGUGAAAUCCCGAGGCUCAACCUCGGGCCUGCAGUGGGUACGGGCAGACUAGAGUGCGGUAGGGGAGAUUGGAAUUCCUGGUGUAGCGGUGGAAUGCGCAGAUAUCAGGAGGAACACCGAUGGCGAAGGCAGAUCUCUGGGCCGUAACUGACGCUGAGGAGCGAAAGGGUGGGGAGCAAACAGGCUUAGAUACCCUGGUAGUCCACCCCGUAAACGUUGGGAACUAGUUGUGGGGUCCAUUCCACGGAUUCCGUGACGCAGCUAACGCAUUAAGUUCCCCGCCUGGGGAGUACGGCCGCAAGGCUAAAACUCAAAGGAAUUGACGGGGACCCGCACAAGCGGCGGAGCAUGCGGAUUAAUUCGAUGCAACGCGAAGAACCUUACCAAGGCUUGACAUAUACGAGAACGGGCCAGAAAUGGUCAACUCUUUGGACACUCGUAAACAGGUGGUGCAUGGUUGUCGUCAGCUCGUGUCGUGAGAUGUUGGGUUAAGUCCCGCAACGAGCGCAACCCUCGUUCUAUGUUGCCAGCACGUAAUGGUGGGAACUCAUGGGAUACUGCCGGGGUCAACUCGGAGGAAGGUGGGGAUGACGUCAAAUCAUCAUGCCCCUUAUGUCUUGGGCUUCACGCAUGCUACAAUGGCCGGUACAAAGGGCUGCAAUACCGCGAGGUGGAGCGAAUCCCAAAAAGCCGGUCCCAGUUCGGAUUGAGGUCUGCAACUCGACCUCAUGAAGUCGGAGUCGCUAGUAAUCGCAGNUCAGC
rnacentral:rRNA from 1 species